GUUGGUACCUUCUUUCUCUCUGGGUGCAUAUUUUAAUUGAAAUCAUUCAAUUUUUCUUCUUGUUCCAUACUAUUUAAGUAAUUAUUUGUAGUUCUUAAUUAUUUAAUUUGUGUAUUUUUUGGUUGAUAAUUUUCAAGUUUAUUUUGUUAAUUAUUUAGUUCAUGCCAUAGAGAACAGAAAACUAUAUUUGCAGAUUCAUCCUCUGGUUUCACGUUUAUAUACAUCCAUAUGGUACAGACCCUGCUGAAUGUUUGGGCUUGAUGCAUAAGGUCAAAGUUUUUUUUGUUUACAAUGUGCUUAAGAUGCUGAUGCUCUCACCUUGCCUUCCUUUUUGACAUUCAAUGAUUGUGAUUCUUAGUUCCAUAGUAAUUUGAAGCACCCCUUGUUUGUAUACUAGAUGAAGAGAGGUAAAGAUAUGAUAGUUCUCUUUUUAAUACUCAUGUAGUCCUGUUUACCUGAAAUCAUUUUCAGUGUUUACUAAGACUGUCUCAUAGAUAUGAUAAUGGUAAUACUGUUGUCAACGUUGUUUAUUUUGAUUUGAGUAUUCGAGGCAAAGAAGUACUGUAAAUUCAAUGACUGGAUUACAGGUACUGUGAAGCCUGCAAAUAAGGAAGUUGCUUCUGACACUGAAACAGAUAUGAAGAUUGAGGGAUUUGUCCAGCAGUGUCACAUUUUCUUCCAAAUCUGCUAUUCUUGAAGAAAAAAACACUUUCCCAUGUUUUAAAUGACAUUGCUUGGCCCACAAACGAGAUUUGAUGGUAGACAUGGUGUGAUGAUGACACUAUAAUGGUUUUGGUUUAAGGAGUUUCUGAAUAAGUCAUUCUAAAUAUCUCAGGUGUGAAGAAUGCAACCACAAAGCUUGAGAAGUUGAAGUUUUCUGAUGGUCAACAUGUGAUCAUACCGCAACAUAUCCAAGUCCAUGAUUCCGUAAAGAAUGUAUUAAUCUUUGGAAGCCUUGAUGCAAGUUUUGGGGUCGGGGAGAACUGUGUAGUAGACGGUGAAAGCAAUGGGAGCUUUAACCCUGUUACCGAUUCAGUUCACGAGGAACCUGUCAGUGAGCUUUCUUUAUGUGUGCAUAUCAGUUUCAGUGGCUUCAGUCUACUAUUCAAGGUAUUCAAUAAUCCGAGGGAGCGGCCUUUCACCUUUGAGGAGAUAGAUGAAGUUCAAGAAAUGUUGGCAAAUUUCAUUACCAGUGAUUGUCUUUGAUAUUUUCUUGUAAUGAAUCUUAAAUUAUGUAUUCUAGCUAGUUUUUCACAUGAUUGUAAUGUA